GCAUUUGCUAUCGCAAUCGAUGGUUUGCCUUUCGGGCGAAACUGCAACUUCUUUAGAGGCAGCCGCGGAAAAAAAAAAUGCUCAGAAGUUUACCGCACAUAAUGAAUGCACAUAUUUAGCACAUCAACUUAGCGCAUAUUUUUAGGAAAAAAAAGCGCAUGCAUUAUGCGAGUAAAUACGGUAACAUGGUUACACCAGCCACUAGCUUUCAUAAUUGAGUGCUUCAUUUUAAGGUUAGGAUAAUUUGCGAAACUCACUUUUUGUGGAAUUGUGUGCAAAGGCCAUUAGUCGUAAC
rnacentral:lncRNA from 1 species